UACGUAGGGUGCGAGCGUUGUCCGGAAUUAUUGGGCGUAAAGGGCUCGUAGGCGGUUUGUCGCGUCGGGAGUGAAAAUCCAGGGCUUAACUCUGGACUGGCUUCCGAUACGGGCAGACUAGAGGUAUGCAGGGGAGAACGGAAUUCCUGGUGUAGCGGUGAAAUGCGCAGAUAUCAGGAGGAACACCAAUGGCGAAGGCAGCUCGCUGGGACGUGACUGACGCUGAGACGCGAAAGCGUGGGGAGCAAACAGG
rnacentral:rRNA from 1 species